ensembl:lncRNA
UUAAUUUAUUAUUAUUUUACUGUAUCGUAUUGGUAUAACCAAGGCUCCAUGGAUCUCCGGCUGUCUCCAGGGGGCACACCAAGUAAAACUGGUGGAUGAGUAUUAGUUUCCAUAAAGUAUCGCAGUUCCAAAAAGAGAAAGGGGAAGGAAAGAAAGGACAAACUGGAAGAGAUAUCAGGGCUUAGAAGCAUACCUUUUAUAUCAAGAAUUAAUCAUAGUAUGAAAAUAAAUUGCACACUUCAAACAUUUUUCUUGUACAUACAUAAUUCUGCUGGUUUGGUUUUUGUUUCAUACGUAUUUCUUUCUAUUGCUACUGUGAUUCAUAUCAAAAAGGGCAAAGAACAGGAGCAGCUGCUGCUAUAUGGGAGAACAAGUGCAGUGCACAUUAGUAGACUCCCCUGUCUUGCUUGCAGAGCAAUUAUUUCCUGGAUAACAGUUUUCCCUGAAUUUUGCACUGUAAAAUGCCAUUGUUACGCUGCAAAAAGAAAGAAGAGAGUCCAAACUAGAUAGUUUUCUUAAUUGAUGAUACUGUUUCUAUGUUUUUGGGCUUCCAUCACCAGUUUCAGCUGAACCUAUAACUAUGGGGCCCUGUUGUAUUCUCUUUUUCAGUGGGAGCAGAACCAUUUUGUCACGCUUUAAUUCUGAAGUCAUAUCACAUGUACAGUAGUUCCCUGCACGGUUUUCUUUUUAGCCAAGAAACGUUGUGUUGCCUUGUAUUAUCACAGGGGGUGGGGAGUGGGAAGAAUUACAGCACCUGUAAUACAGUGGUGUUGCCUGCAGGCCCACUUUUCCAGUGUUCUAAAUUCCUACUGUCUUCUGAAAUUGAAGAUGUUGCAUUUGCAUUGAUUUGGUGUUUGCUGUUGGCUUCAUGCCUGCAGAAACGUGAUGUGUAAUACAGGUAGGUUAGUGUUUUGGUGUCCUGUGCUCCAAGGUCAUAGAUGGUCUUUGGCUUGGGGAUUGAGUAGAUAGAUAUUAUAAAUAUAAAUCUGUUUACAACUUAAGCUUGAUUUUGGUAGUUCAUAUUUCUAGUUCAUUUAUUGCCAUUUUGAGCACCUGUAUUUUCUAUGUUCAGAUGCAAAUAGAUUGCUUAAAGACCCACAGUUAGAACUGCGGUCCUAUGCUUAGGGCCAGCAUUUGAAAAGCAUGCCGCUAGCGUGGUUUUGCUGGGAAAGAGUCUGCUCCUGCUUCCAUCGGCACAGUAGAGCUGCAGUACUUCAGAUUGUUUGAGGGACUGAUAGGGGGCAGCCUUAGAUGCUGGUUUUGCAUUCUUGGUAUCCAUAAAUCUCUUCUGAAAGCCUACGAAAGGUUUUCCUCUAUCAAAAUGUGUAAUAUAGACCAAGCCAAGAAUGACUUGGAAGCAUGAGAUCAAUGUUUGAUUCUGAAAAUGCCUGUGGAAAUUCACCUUUGUAAGUGUUCUGUCACCAGCUGUGUUGGUCAGUUGGAGAUGACCAUGCCGUAGACAUUGCUCAUUGUAGGCAACACCUUCAUGUUAACAACCUCCUCACAGUGGUCCUGAAUCACUGUGCUCCAGAAGGGAAAAAUAAGCAUCAAACAAGUCUUGUGUCUCAAUCAAGGAAUACCACACUUGUCCACAAGAAGCAAUAACUUAUAUUUUGGUGCGAUAUGCUUCUUUGCCUGUAAAUAUAUUAAAAUUGCCAAGUCUAUGCUG